rnacentral:rRNA from 1 species
UACGUAGGUGGCAAGCGUUGUCCGGAUUUAUUGGGUUUAAAGGGUGCGUAGGUGGUCUAUUAAGUCAGUGCUGAAAUAUCCCGGCUUAACCGGGAGGGUGGCAUUGAUACUGAUGGACUUGAGUAGAGUCGAGGUAGGCGGAAUUGACGGUGUAGCGGUGAAAUGCGUAGAUAUCAGGAGGAACACCUGUGGUGUAGACGGCUUACUGGACCAUGACUGACGCUGAGGCACGAAAGCCAGGGGAGCAAACGGG